rnacentral:tRNA from 1 species
GCCUGGGUAGCUCAGUCGGUAGAGCGCAUUCUUGGUAAGAAUGAGGUCUCGGGUUCGAUUCCCGAUCCAGGCU